CACAUCUCACAUCUCCACAAUCCGCACAUCCACGGCACAUGGGGGUUUGGCUUGGGUUUUGUUUUUUUGUUUUCUUUUUUUUUUUUUUUGCUUCUUCUUCUUUUUUCUUUUUCUUCUCUUUUCUUUUUCCUGGAGCUAGGGAGCUAUCUCCCCUUAUCGUGAUCCGCCACACUCGUUGCAUGUCCACUGCCGAGGCACGUGCGCAACCACUCACAAAGCGACACCUCGUUGGUUCCGUUCCCCAGAUGCGGGCUGUCCAUGGUACAUUCUAUAUACUCUACAUACUGUACAUUCUGUACAUCUCAAGGACCCUGAGAUCGGGCAAGGGUUCGCUGCCUCCACUUCCCUUCUCUUCCCUGAGAUCAGAGAGAAGCUUCUCUGGCGGUGGUGGCUCGCUGAUAACACUUCCUCCUGGGUCUGGGUGGGGACCCAGCGUCGCGCGCGGACCUUGUUAUUGUUGUUGUUGUUGUUAUUACUGUUGUUAUCCAUGGCAGAGAUACAUCCUGCACUGGUGUUGUUUAUUUGUUGUCUCUGUGUGUGUGUUUACAUCGCUGGCAGUAGCCGUAACAACAGAUAUAUCAAUAUAUAUUUAUAUCCACA
rnacentral:sRNA from 2 species